rnacentral:rRNA from 1 species
CCUACGGGAGGCAGCAGUAAGGAAUAUUGGUCAAUGGACGCAAGUCUGAACCAGCCAUGCCGCGUGAAGGAUGAAGGCCCUCUGGGUUGUAAACUUCUUUUAUCUGGGACGAAAAAAGGGCAUUCUUGCUCACCUGACGGUACCAGAGGAAUAAGCACCGGCUAACUCCGUGCCAGCAGCCGCGGUAAUACGGAGGGUGCAAGCGUUAUCCGGAUUUACUGGGUUUAAAGGGUGCGUAGGUGGGUUGGUAAGUCAGUGGUGAAAUCUCCGAGCUUAACUCGGAAACUGCCAUUGAUACUAUCAAUCUUGAAUACUUUGGAGGUAAGCGGAAUAUGUCAUGUAGCGGUGAAAUGCUUAGAUAUGACAUAGAACACCAAUUGCGAAGGCAGCUUACUACACAGUCAUUGACACUGAGGCACGAAAGCGUGGGGAUCAAACAGGAUUAGAUACCCUGGUAGUCCACGCCCUAAACCGAUGGAUACUCGACAUCAGCGAUACACUGUUGGUGUCUGAGCGAAAGCAUUAAGUAUCCAACCUGGAAGUUACGAUCGCAAGAUUGAACGUUCAAGGAAGUUAGUUACGGCGUUGAGGACGUUGCCGACGGCGACACGACGGGAGGUUAGG